rfam:Pseudomonas chlororaphis subsp. aureofaciens 30-84 chromosome, whole genome shotgun sequence.
AUCAAUGGCGGCUGUGCGCGGGAGACCUUCGGGUCUGCCGGGUUUACUAACUUACCGGUUCGCCAACCCGCGUACGGCUGCCACCCAC